AACUGAAUGCAAGGUUAAAGGACG
rnacentral:piRNA from 1 species